rnacentral:rRNA from 1 species
GACGAACGCUGGCGGCGUGCUUAACACAUGCAAGUCGAGCGGAGCGGCGAACGGGUGAGUAACGCGUGAGUAACUGCCCCCCUCUCUGGGAUAACAGUUGGAAACGGCUUCUAAUACCGGAUAGUGGGGGAUGACUCGCGUCCUAUCGGCUUGUUGGUGGGGUAGUGGCCUACCAAGGCGACGACGGGUAGCCGGCCUGAGGGGGGUACCGGCCAAAUUGGGAUGAGAUACGGCCCAAACUCCUACUGGGGGCAGUAGUGGGGAAUAGGGCACAAGGGGGGAAACCCGGAUGCAGCAACGCCGCGGGCGGGAUGACGGCCUUCGGGUUGUAAACCGAUUUCAGCCAUGACGCGGUAGUGGCAGAAGAAGCACCGGCUAACUACGUGCCAGCAGCCGCGGUAAUUC